GACGGGACCCGCACAAGCGGUGGAUGAUGUGGAUUAAUUCGAUGCAACGCGAAAACCUUACCUACCCUUGACAUGUCCGGAAUCCCGAAGAGAUUUGGAGUGCUCGCAAGAGAACCGGAACACAGGUGCUGCAUGGCUGUCGUCAGCUCGUGUCGUGAGAUGUUGGGUUAAGUCCCGCAACGAGCGCAACCCUUGUCAUUAGUUGCCAUCAUUUGGUUGGGCACUCUAAUGAGACUGCCGGUGACAAACCGGAGGAAGGUGGGGAUGACGUCAAGUCCUCAUGGCCCUUAUGGGUAGGGCUUCACACGUCAUACAAUGGUCGGUACAGAGGGUUGCCAACCCGCGAGGGGGAGCUAAUCCCACAAAGCCGAUCGUAGUCCGGAUCGCAGUCUGCAACUCGACUGCGUGAAGUCGGAAUCGCUAGUAAUCGUGGAUCAGCAUGUCACGGUGAAUACGUUCCCGGGUCUU
rnacentral:rRNA from 1 species